GACGAACGCUGGCGGCGUGCCUAAUACAUGCCAGUAGAACGCUGAAGGAGGAGCUUGCUUCUCCGGAUGAGUUGCGAACGGGUGAGUAACGCGUAGGUAACCUGCCUGGUAGCGGGGGAUAACUAUUGGAAACGAUAGCUAAUACCGCAUAACAGUAGAUAUCGCAUGAUAUCUGCUUGAAAGGUGCAAUUGCAUCACUACCAGAUGGACCUGCGUUGUAUUAGCUAGUUGGUGAGGUAACGGCUCAUCAAGGCGACGAUACCUAGCCGACCUGAGAGGGUGCGCGGCCACGCUGGGACGGGGACACGGCCCAGACUCCUACGGGAGGCAGCAGUAGGGAAUCUUCGGCAAUGGACGGAAGUGUGACCGAGCAACGCCGCGUGAGUGAAGAAGGUUUUCGGAUCGUAAAGCUCUGUUGUAAGAGAAGAACGAGUGUGAGAGUGGAAAGUUCACACUGUGACGGUAUCUUACCAGAAAGCGACGGCUAACUACGUG
rnacentral:rRNA from 1 species